rnacentral:ncRNA from 1 species
GUGUGCAAGGCCAUUAGUAAAACACAUUGGUAGCUAGUACCCGGACGAUUAGUUGGAUGAAAUGGGAUUUUUAGCCCCAUUAUAUUUAUUUUCAUCAACUUAGAGGGACACUGUGCGUUUGAGUACGGGGAAGCUGGAAGCAAUAACAGGUCUGUGAUGCCCUUAGAUGUUCUGGGCUGCACGCGCGCGACACUGAACUAUUCAACGAGUAUCUGAGUCGAUAGACUUGGGAAAUCUUUUGAAAAUAGUUCGUGAUGGGGAUUGAUGCUUGUAAUUUUUCAUCAUGAACGAGGAAUUCCUAGUAAAUGCAAGUCAUCAACUUGCGUUGAUUACGUCCCUGCCCUUUGUACACACCGCCCGUCGCACCUACCGAUUGGAUGAUCCGGUGAACACUUUGGAUUUUUAAUUAUUUAUCGGCUUGCUGGUAGAUAGUUGAAGAGAAGUCGUGUAAAUCUUAUCAUCUAGAGGAAGGUGAAGUCGUAACAAGGUUUCCGUAGGUGAACCUGCGGAAGGAUCAUUA